GACGAACGCUGGCGGCGUGCUCAACACAUGCAAGUCGAACGGUGAAGCGCCUUCCUUUUUGGUGGGUGUGGAUGAGUGGCGAACGGGUGAGUAACACGUGAGUAACCUGCCCCCUUCUUCUGGAUAACCGCAUGAAAGUGUGGCUAAUACGGGAUAUUCUGGGUCUGUCGCAUGAUGGGUCUGGGAAAGAUAUUGUUUCGGUGGGGGAUGGGCUCGCGGCCUAUCAGCUUGUUGGUGGGGUGAUGGCCUACCAAGGCGGUGACGGGUAGCCGGCCUGAGAGGGUGGACGGUCACACUGGGACUGAGACACGGCCCAGACUCCUACGGGAGGCAGCAGUGGGGAAUAUUGCACAAUGGGCGCAAGCCUGAUGCAGCGACGCCGCGUGAGGGAUGGAGGCCUUCGGGUUGUGAACCUCUUUCGCCAGUGGAGCAGGCCUGCCUCGUUUGUGGGUGGGUUGACGGUAGCUGGAUAAGAAGCGCCGGCUAACUACGUG
rnacentral:rRNA from 1 species